ACCCAACUGGCUUCGCAGUUGGGAGACCUAGCAACAAAGUCUCCAAAUGGCACCAGAAGAAAAGGAAAACGAAAAAUAAGAGGUUAACGCAAGGAUUCAUUUCCUCAAUGCCAUGGCAUACCAUCUUUGCAUUUCUGAAUCCACUGCUAAUCGGCAUCCUUCAAGUGAAAUGUCAAGGCGCAACCAAGUCUCCAUUUGACACACACCAGGAAGUCAUGUGGACAUUUUUGCUGGCAACGUUAGUCUACUGCUUUGCAUUUGCAGCUAACAUGAAAUCACGCCGUAAUUGCUCUACAGUCUACUCUCGAAUCUCUGGCCAUUUUGCUCUUCUCACUGGAUCUCUUUCCUCGGUCUCGUUGUUCUCCAUCUUUCUUCCAAGGUUUCCUAAUGAGCAGCUUGUUAUCCUCUUGUGGAUCAUCAUGCCUUUGAUUGUUGCAAGAAAGUGGAUCUGUCGAGUGUGCCAAAAGCUUUGCAAAUCGACUUCAAAGGCAACCCACUUUUUAGUUCACUGCAUUUGUCGUGGCUUCUUCGGAAGAAACUUGAUGGAGCAGCCACAAUUGCCUGUGUAGCUCUAGCCUUGCUCUUCCUUCGGUGGGGGUGGGAAUAUAUAUGUAAAAUGGUUUAGAGUCUAGAAUCAUAAAACACAGAUGCAUUGCAAGUUAUGUGUGAUAACAAUUAGUGUUCUUAAAUAUAUUAUAGAUGUUGGACAUCAGUUGUUCCUC